CGCCGGGACCGCAAUACCUCAGGCGGUCGACGAGGAGAGGGUCAUCGAAAGAUUCGGCGGAUACCCUCCGUGCCGUGACAGCCCGUAAGACAACGGUCAAAAACCGCGGGAGACCGCGAAACAAAGCUGUUGUCAU
rnacentral:ncRNA from 1 species